rnacentral:rRNA from 1 species
UACGUAGGGUGCGAGCGUUGUCCGGAAUUACUGAGCGUAAAGCGCACGUAGGCGGCUACUCAAGUCAGGGGUGAAAGCCCGGGGCUCAACCCCGGAACUGCCCUUGAAACUAGGUAGCUAGAAUCUUGGAGAGGUCAGUGGAAUUCCGAGUGUAGAGGUGAAAUUCGUAGAUAUUCGGAAGAACACCAGUGGCGAAGGCGACUGACUGGACAAGUAUUGACGCUGAGGUGCGAAAGCGUGGGGAGCAAACAGG